UACGGGGGGGGCAAGCGUUGUUCGGAAUUACUGGGCGUAAAGGGCGCGUAGGCGGCUAUUUAAGUGAGAUGUGAAAUCCCCGGGCUUAACCUGGGAACUGCAUCUUAGACUGGAUAGCUGGAGUGCAGUAGAGGGUAGUGGAAUUUCCGGUGUAGCGGUGAAAUGCGUAGAUAUCGGAAGGAACACCAGUGGCGAAGGCGGCUACCUGGACUGACACUGACGCUGAGGCGCGAGAGCGUGGGGAGCAAACAGG
rnacentral:rRNA from 1 species